rnacentral:misc_RNA from 1 species
CCCAACGGCGGCCGCAAACUCGACCUGACCUAUUCCGCGGGCGUGUGGAGCGGCCCACCGGCGUUUGCGGAAGCAGGCGUGACGCCGAAGGAUAUCAAGUAUGCGUCGAUUUACGACAGCUUCACCAUCACCGUGGUGGUUCAACUUGAAGACCUCGGCUUCUGUGCGAAGGGCGAGGGUGGCAAGUUCGUCGCCGAUGGCAACCUGAUUUCCGGCGUCGGCAAGCUGCCGUGGAAUACAGACGGCGGCGGGCUGUGCAACAACCACCCGAUCAACCGC